CAUGCCUAAUACAUGCAAGUCGAGCGAAUGAUGAAGAAGCUUGCUUCUCUGAUUAGCGGCGGACGGGUGAGUAACACGUGGGCAACCUACCCUAUAGAUUGGGAUAACACAGGGAAACCUGUGCUAAUACCGAAUAAUACCUUUCUCUUCAUGGAGGAUGGUUGAAAGAUGGUUUCGGCUAUCACUAUAGGAUGGGCCCGCGGCGCAUUAGCUAGUUGGUGAGGUAAUGGCUCACCAAGGCAACGAUGCGUAGCCGACCUGAGAGGGUGAUCGGCCACACUGGGACUGAGACACGGCCCAGACUCCUACGGGAGGCAGCAGUAGGGAAUCUUCCACAAUGGGCGAAAGCCUGAUGGAGCAAUGCCGCCGUGAGUGAUGAAGGAUUUCGGUUCGUAAAACUCUGUUGUAAGGGAAGAACAAGUAGCGUAGUAACUGGCGUUACCUUGACGGUACCUUAUUAGAAAGCCACGGCUAACUACGUGCCAGCCGCUGC
rnacentral:rRNA from 1 species